rnacentral:lncRNA from 1 species
ACUCUGUGGUCACCCGGAGCUGGACGAGCUCGGGCCUGGCCGCAAGUGGCCCUCGCUCGGAUGUCCCCUCUCCAGACCUAAGGGAUAACGGUGACCACCCACGACGCCGUCGUCUGCAGGACCUCAGGGGUGCGGGGGAGGACCUUGGAGGCUCUCAGACUACCGGGCGUUGGGCGGAAGUGGCCAGUUGUGAUAGUGUUACCAGGAGAUUGGCAAAUAGGUCCUACUCCCACGAUUCUCUUUUUUCAACGGAAGACAAGAAAAGGUGUGAGCGACGGAUCUCUGCAAAUGCAGGGUGGAGUUAGCAUUGGUCUUUUCUGCGGCCGAUUUACCUACCAGGUAGAGACACGAAGGAAAUAGAGCGUCCUUUCCAGGAACACACAUAAAUAAAAUGAAACGAGUCACCACGCGAUCCAUAAAGUGGUGCAGUGGGAGCUGAGAGGACAAAGUGCUCCCAGGUGGAAAUCUAAGUUAGUUUCCAAGAGACGGCCUGUGAGCUGGGCUUCAAAGCCUGCCUGAUCCGGAUUUGCAGCGGUAAAAGCGUG